GAUGAACGCUAGCGGCAGGCUUAACACAUGCAAGUCGAGGGGUAUGGUUCUUCGGAACCAGAGACCGGCGCACGGGUGCGUAACGCGUAUGCAAUCUACCUUUUACAGAGGGAUAGCCCAGAGAAAUUUGGAUUAAUACCUCAUAGUAUAACAUGACCGCAUGGUCGAGUUAUUAAAGUCACGACGGUAAAAGAUGAGCA
rnacentral:rRNA from 1 species